GGCGAACGUUAGCGGCGGGCCUAACACAUGCAAGUCGAACGCGAAAGGGAUUCGUCCCCAGUAGCGUGGCGUCCGGGUGAGUAACACGUAGGAAAUCUUCCCUCGAGCGGGGGAUAACGUCCCGAAAGGGACGCUAAUACCGCAUAAGCCCACGUCCACCUCGGUGGAUGAGGGAAAAGCUGGCCACUGUAUACAUGCUAGCACUUGAGGAUGAUCCUGCGGCGCAUCAGCUAGNGGUGAGGUAAUGGCUCACCAAGGCUUAGACGCGUAGCUGGUCUGAGAGGAUGAUCAGCCACACUGGCACUGAAACACGGGCCAGACUCCUACGGGAGGCAGCAGUGGGGAAUAUUGGACAAUGGGCGCAAGCCUGAUCCAGCCACGCCGCGUGAGUGAUGAAGGCC
rnacentral:rRNA from 1 species